GGCCGAUGAUUACACACAUAUAUUUGCUACUCUCGAGUUUUCGAUGACGACAAUAAAUCACCAAGAUCUAUGAGGCC
rnacentral:snoRNA from 1 species